rnacentral:tRNA from 1 species
GCCAGCGUAGCUCAGUGGUAGAGCAACGGUUUCGUAAACCGUAGGUCGAGAGUUCAAUCCUCUCCGCUGGCU